CUUAUUUAUAAAGCCGGUGGCGGAGCUGAGCGAGGGCUGUGAGGAGGUGCUCCUCGGUGAUGCUGACUCUAAACCAUGUCGGCCAGCCUGGAAGGAGUGGCAGGGACCUCUCGGAUGGGAGGGAUCCCUCCUGUCAGGAACAAUGGCUAAAAUCUGGAGAAGUGAAUGUACAUCCAGAUCCCGGAAAUGGAAAUUUGUUGAUAAAGCAGCACAGCAGGCAGAUGGAAGGAAACCUCUUUCUGUCGGGCCAAAGCAUCCGCUUGCUCUGAAUACUCGAGCUGCAGAUAUGUGCAGAAGCCAUCCUGGAGGGUAAAAGGAGGUUCAUUAAACAUCUACUACGCUUCUUCCUUUCAAAAGUUCUCUCUACCAUCAGGGUAUGGAUAAUUCCUUUCUUGGACACGACCUAAUUAUUUGUAGAAACUGGUUCAUUUGUAUGCCAAAAACUCAAGAGUAAUAAUUGGGUGUGCCCAUUCAGCUGGGGCUGGAGGCCUGUCACCCAGCUUGGGCUCCCUUCCCCACCUCCAGUCUCUUUCUCCGUCUCUCUAAAGAAGAUGGUGAUGGUGGUGAUUGAAAGUAUGCAAUGUUCCACGCAAACUGGAUCUUCCUCACAAUUCUCAUGAUAACUGUAUGAGAUAGGUACCACUGUUCUUCCCAUUUACACAUUUGGAAACCCAAGCUUUGAAAAGCUACAUAGCUUGCCCAAGAUCAAACAACUAGUAAGUGGCUGGCCAGAGACUCGAGUCCUUACUGAUCCCACUGCCCAGUUCCCACCCACCAGGAUAUAUGCCUCAUUUAGAAUUUCAGCGGUAUACCUAGGGGAAAGAACUGUGGUCAUAGGCACAGGGUGGGGGGACCUGUAGGGCCUGGGAACAUCUCUUUUCUCUCCACUGCCCCCAAAGCCCCACUGCUCUAGAGCUUUCUCUUCUCUGGAAUCCUGAUUUCCUAUUCAAAUCAGAUGGCAAUGUAAACACUUGUAUUGAUUUGGUUGGAGAAUUGGCCCCAGGUCUGAAUAGAGAAGUCAUUUUAGAACUUAAUUCAUCCUGGAACAAUAGAAGGGCACUGACAGACACAAAGGCAGAGAAUGUUUAAAGCAGGUGUCUCAGCUCCUUAUUCUUAUACAAUCAAAAUUAGGUAACAUUAAUAAUAAUGAUGAUGAUGAUAUUUGUUGACAAUUUACUUUGUGACUGUCCCUGUUCUAAACACUUGACAUGUAUUAACUGAUCCAAUUACGUCACAGAAUUUCUUGCUCAGAUGUUUCACUUUUGCUUUGGGGUAAGGUGACAAAUGUAUCCUUUAUUCUCCGGUUUUAGGACACUCUUCUUGAAACUUGCUUUAGCUACUGAAAUCCCCAGUUAAACUAUUCCGAGUUUAACCUGACCUUAUGAAAUUUGAAAAUUGUGAACAAGUAUAUCCUCUCAGAUCAGUUUCAAGUAGAUGAAGGCACUGAGGGACAUAUCAUACUCGGCACCAACAGUUUUUGUGUUUUCCUUACUAAUCUUCAAUUUGACUAUAAAGCAUAACCCAACUUACCCAUUCAGUUCUGCCCACUGAUUCAUAGUCUAUUUUCAUGAAAAGCUGUUCUAUUUGUUCAAUCCUCUGGAAAGGAA